UAUUGGUCAAUGGCCGAGAGGCUGAACCAGCCAAGUCGCGUGAGGGAUGACGGCCCUACGGGUUGUAAACCUCUUUUGUCGGGGAGCAAAGAGAGUCACGUGUGGCUCAUUGAGAGUACCCGAAGAAAAAGCAUCGGCUAACUCCGUGCCAGCAGCCGCGGUAAUACGGAGGAUGCGAGCGUUAUCCGGAUUUAUUGGGUUUAAAGGGUGCGCAGGCGGAGGUGCAAGUCAGUGGUCAAAUUGCGGGGCUCAACCCCGUACUGCCGUUGAAACUGCAUCCCUUGAGUGCGCGAGAAGUAUGCGGAAUGCGUGGUGUAGCGGUGAAAUGCAUAGAUAUCACGCAGAACUCCGAUUGCGAAGGCAGCAUACCGGCGCGCAACUGACGCUCAUGCACGAAAGCGUGGGUAUCGAAC
rnacentral:rRNA from 1 species